GUGUACCUACAAUAUUACACCAAAAGGGUAUCAAAAUUUUUGUCACAUAAGAAGGGAGAAAAGAGACACAAGCUCAUUUAAGGAAGGGGAGAAAUAGGCAGCCAAGGCUGCGGUUUCCAGCUGUGAGGAUAGCCACAUUUUGUCCCUUUUCAACUUACACCAAUUUAGUAUAAUCAACAUAAUUAUGGAGCUCAAAAAGAGAGGUUAGUUGUUAGCUCAAAAUAGAAAUUGGAGCUCUACAAUGCCUUACACCAAUAUAGUAGUGAAGCUUUAAGCCCAAAAUCAAAAAGAAGAGAGAAUCUUUAACACACAAAAUGCCAAGGAGUUUUGGCUAUAAAUACCAGCCCCACCACCAUCUUCUUCCUCACACCUCUCUAUAUUCACAAUACACAAGAAGUGCAGCAAGGGAGGAAGGAGUGGUGAAGACCGAGAGGGCAGUCCGGCGUUCGAAUGAGUCACCGAGAAUGAGGUUGAGCAGUGAUGAUGGCGGACGGUGUUGAGCAUAGACGAUGAAGAUCCUUCGAUAGAAUAGUACUUGGAUUCGUCGUGUCUCCAUACAUGAUGUCAUCUACUCUUGACUCUUCCGCUGCAAAGUAAAAGUCGAGUUUACAAUCUUUGUAUCAAUCACUCUGAUAUAGAUAAAUUCGAGUUAUUUCAGUUCAA